rnacentral:rRNA from 1 species
UACAGGGGGGCAAGCGUUGUUCGGAAUUACUGGGCGUAAAGGGCGCGUAGGCGGCCUUCUAAGUCGAACGUGAAAUCCCCGGGCUCAACCCGGGAACUGCGUCCGAUACUGGAAGGCUUGAAUCCGGGAGAGGGAUGCGGAAUUCCAGGUGUAGCGGUGAAAUGCGUAGAUAUCUGGAGGAACACCGGUGGCGAAGGCGGCAUCCUGGACCGGCAUUGACGCUGAGGCGCGAAAGCUAGGGGAGCAAACGGG